UACGGGGGGGGCAAGCGUUGUUCGGAAUUACUGGGCGUAAAGGGCGCGUAGGUGGCCAACUAAGUCAGACGUGAAAUCCCUCGGCUUAACCGGGGAACUGCGUCUGAUACUGGAUGGCUUGAGUUUGGGAGAGGGAUGCGGAAUUCCAGGUGUAGCGGUGAAAUGCGUAGAUAUCUGGAGGAACACCGGUGGCGAAGGCGGCCAACUGGACGAAGACUGACGCUGAGACACGAAAGCGUGGGGAGCAAACAGG
rnacentral:rRNA from 1 species